UAUGCACCACUCACAUGUGAGCCCACACUCGCACAAUGAACAGUUGGAGGUUUACGCCAGGUUUGUCUCCGCGGUAUGCGCUCUGUUGGGGUUGCCAUGACAACAAUUUGCCCCUUUACUUUCUCCUUCAACUUAGGAAGCUAUUGAAAGGCUUUCAUUUGUCAUGGAGUUUAUUAUGAAAGUUUAUUUUGAGCUUUUGCGAUCAUUAAGAGGAAAUGUUCUUUCAAAUUCUCUUAAAAUAAUUCACCACUUCGAUUGAUUAUUACGAUAUUGCGAGAAGGCUGAUUGACCGAGUGAGUCUACUAAUUGGCUAGUUGACUUAAAGUGCAUGCUUGUAAACUGGCUUCUCGUAAGCUUUAAAUUAAGCGGAUGUUUUAUGGAGACUUUGCAGAUGGGAAGCACAAAGUUUUUUCAAAGCAAAUAUGGAUUUAUUAUGUUCCAGCGCUCCAGCAGCGAGAAUUCUUCAGAUAUGGAAGCCGUUACUAGCUUUUGAACAUAAAAGAAAAUUAAGCUCGAGCCAUACUUAAAAUCCGCUGCAAUUAAGGGUUGUGACUUGGCAAUAAUGUGGUGGAUAUUGAAAGUCGUGGCGGUACAUUAUACAAAAAGUUUAUGGAAAGUAGAAACUACAAGAUAUGUACACCCAAUAAACUUACUAGAUCUAUAAUAUUGUGCUGUCUUAGCAGUUACCAUACUCCUACUCUCUCACUUUUUCUUUCUGAAGGCAAAUAUUCAGCGCUAAAAGAAAGAUAAAUUUGGCGAAAAAAAAUUAAGUUCAUAGAGAACAAGGUAGAGUCCAAGCUUUGAGAAGAAGUGAAAUUUUAAAUUAAUUUGCAAUAAGUAAGGCAGAGCUAUGUCGGUAUAACGGAACAUUUUAUACUCUUGCAACUUCCAAAGAUCAAAGCCGGGGAAAUACUUUCAGUUGUUGGCAAUGUUAAAGAACCAAUUUCAUUUAUAUUGAGCGUCAAAUCAUUAAUAUAAUUUUCCAAC